CCUACGGGCGGCAGCAGUGGGGAAUAUUGCACAAUGGGGGAAACCCUGAUGCAGCGACGCCGCGUGAGUGAAGAAGUAUUUCGGUAUGUAAAGCUCUAUCAGCAGGGAAGAAAUACUGACCUUACGGUCAGCAGACGGUACCUGACUAAGUAGCCCCGGCUAACUACGUGCCAGCAGCCGCGGUAAUACGUAGGGGGCAAGCGUUAGCCGGAUUUAUUGGGUGUAAAGGGAGCGUAGACGGCAGCCCAAGUCUGGAGUGAAAUGCCGGGGCUUAACCCCGGAACUGCUUUGGAAACUGUGCAGCUAGAGUGCAGGAGGGGUAAGCGGAAUUCCUAGUGUAGCGGUGAAAUGCGUAGAUAUUAGGAGGAACACCAGUGGCGAAGGCGGCUUACUGGACUGUAACUGACGUUGAGGCUCGAAAGCGUGGGGAGCAAACAGGAUUAGAUACCCGGGUAGUC
rnacentral:rRNA from 1 species